rnacentral:lncRNA from 1 species
GACUCCGGAUGACAUCAGAGCUACUUUUCAACAGCCUUCUCAAUUUUCUUUCUCAGAAAGCAGAGGCUCAGAGCUUGGAGACAGACGACUCCUGCCCCUGCCACGAGAACACACCCUUUCCAGUUUGCUGGAGAAAUAUAAGAGAAGUCCAGUGAAAGAGAGCUGAGUUUCCCCAAUGAUGCCAUCAAGAUGAACUAACUACAGUUAACCAGCCAGCUGAUAGCAGAUGCAUGAGUGAGCCCAGCUGAGAGCAGGUGAAACUGAAAUUGGCUAUAUCAUUUGAAACUUCAUCUGUGAAGUCCCUGGUGGUUUCCUAGAUGACUUCACAGUUGAGUUGCCUCUGAUUGGAAAAGCAGUGUUUUUGUUUUUCAGUUUGUACAAGAGGAGGAAGACGCAUGAUAUGUGUUUGGCUCAUGUGCCUGAAUAUGGCUCCACAGGGAAGACUUGAUACAGCUGAAGCUAUUGCUUUUUAGAGACUUUUUAUUUUGAGCAGCUGCCUUAACAGCCUGCGUCUUGUUACAUCACAUGAGAUAUAUCUCUGGAAUAGGAAGAGAAAAAAGACAUGACUGAGCAAUAAUUUUUGACUAAAACUUAAAAUUACAAAACCAAAACCAGAGAUAGAUGUCCCUGAAGUUGUAUUUUUAUAGUAUGUGAGAACACAAUUUUCUUAUCCUAGUUUUAAGGCAUUCCUCUGGACCCAGGAUUUUUGUUUCGUUUCAUUCACAUAAUCAAACGCUUUUUUUUUUUUUUUGCCAUAGACUAAUGCAUUUUGGUGUAAUGAUCUGAGCCCUUAUCCAGAAGGCAUCUAGAAGGACUCAUGUACAAAAAUAGAUUUCAGGGCUAAACAUUCUAAAAGACAAUUGAGUGCUUCUUUUUUCUCCCACCCCUAGAUGUAAAUGAAUAACCUCUGUUCACUAACUCUUAAUGUAAUAUAAGGGAUAAAUUAUGCUUGUUUAUUUAAUUGUGCUUAACCAGAGUACUAGGUUGGAGUCAAACCACAGAUAUAUUUGUGAGAUGUGACAAGAUGUAGCUUUUAGCCUGUAAUACCCAAGUCAUCUGGGAACAUAACUGAUGACAGUGUCAACACCUUUCAGGAAUUCUGGAGGUGCCUUUGAGUUUAGAAAUUCGUAGGUUCUCUAGAAGCAACAGUAGCAUACUAAAUUAACACAUAACAUUUCAAGCUACAUUUACAUAAUUGCAGUGGUUGUGAUUAAUACAAAUUAUAUUAACUGCCUGUUUUACUCCUUAUAGCUGAUUGGUUGAAUUUACCAGUGGGUUUGGUAUGUUCAACAAAUGAUCCAAAUUACCUUUUCAUUUCAGUUAAGAAACUAAUCAAAGCAAAUACACUUUGAUUUGCUGAGAGGCAGAGAUUCUCCCUAAGUGACAAUGUCCUUGGCCUUCUAAGCUAAAACCUAAAUGGAACUAUAAUAUAUAUUUUGAUGCUUUAUCUCACUUGAGUUUUUUAUUCUUUAACUGAAGGGCAGCCAUGGACCAUAAAUACAUAGAAGAUAAAAAUAUAUUGAGCUUAGGAGUUUGGUCUGCUCAAUGGAUGAGAACUUUAUAUUUUCCCUUAUAAAUACAAUUUUCAAAGAAUAGCCUGUAAUAGACGUGAUAAUGGAAACCAAUACUGGGGAAAUGUGGACUGCAACUCUGAAAAGGUAUCAAAAUGCCCGAUAGUUCAACACAAAGGCUAAGCAAUAUUUCAGGGAUGUGGCCUGUCUUUGGUGGCUCGGUCACUCUAGUGAGAUGAAUUUGAAAAAGGAUAGGCAUACAGAAUCCCCCCUCUGGCAGGGUUUGCCUUUGGGGUCUGCUUAAAGCCAUGUUUGCUAGUAGAAAUCUUGAGUAACCAGAUAUGUUUUAUAAUGCUGUGUCAUAUUUAAAUUCUGAUGAGACUGACAUCUUUAAAUAAGCUUGGACACAGAUUGGAUUUGUACAGGGAACUGGACUGAAGAAUAAUCAUAGAGCAGUAAUAGAUUUAGAUAUACUAUUUUUAUAUUGUAAGCAGUUACUUCUCAGGAUUAGUAUUCUAAUUCAUUUGAUUUAAUAUGUAAUAGGUAAUAUUAAAAAUAAAGAUUUUAUGCUUUGAAACUCCUUAACUGAAUAUUUUCAUAGGAAUAAGCAUAGUUUUUGUGUUUAGUAAUUUUAGUUAGUGAGUAAUGAUUAGCAGACAACAUGGUAAUUAUAUUGAAAUAUUACGUGAGUGCCAAUAACAAAGCUUUCUGAUCAAAUGCUAAGAAAUAUGUUGUGUAAAGGGAUCUCACAUUUUUUAUUGCGGCUUUCUUUCUACAAUGUGACACAUUUCUGGGAUAUUUCAUUAUCUUCUUUUUGAAUUUUUUUCAAGCAAGACUGUUCAGUAUUAUGUUAGCAUUGAUAUAAAAAGAAGCAGACCAUUGUUAACAUUAAAAUGUUACUGAGAUUUCAAAGGUAGAGGACAUUAUCCUUUCUUAUUUUUCUUUAUGAUACAGUAUUUGUAACAUAGUGCUUCUGAAAUAGAAAGCACUUUUUGGAAAAUAAGUUUAGUGAAUAGCCAAAUAAUUUCUUACAUAUAACUUACAAAAGUAAUACCAUCUAGGCUAAGCUAUUAAAAAUAUCAGUACAUCAGUAACUACUCAUUAUAUUGACCAACCAGAGCUUAUCCAUUUUUGGUCAUUCUCAUCUAGAUAUACACUUUCAGGCUAAAGAGAGAUUUCCUUCCUUUUUCAAUUGGUUAUGAAUAGAAGUCAUCAAUUUUUUUCUUACUUUCAUCUUAAUGGUUUGAAAUAAAGAGUCAGAUGCACGGCUUUUCAAUUUCUUUUACUACUUUAUUUUAUUACUUGAUUAUUUUAAGGUCAAAAGAUUUCCAUUUCCAAAAUACGUAAUAGAAAUGAUAAAGCAGUAAAAUUUGGACUUAAAAUAAUAUGGACAUUUUUCUUACAAGUGUCAACAUGAUUUACACAUUAUUAAAAAGGCAGUAAAAUUUGAACUUAUACAGCAUAAACUUUACUUAAACUGUCAAAUACAUGGUUUUAAAGUUAUUUUAUUAAUCUAUCACUAAUAAUUAUUUUUCUUAUCAACAGAGAAAGUGAAGUUUCCUAAGCCAUCACUAGAAUUGGAAACACUAGAUUUUAUAAAUUAAUUUCUUUUCAUUGACCUAAACUCCACAUUUCUGCUGUGUUCAUCUGAGGUCAUGUCCAUAUAGUCAAAUAGCUGAAGGAAAGGUGAGAUUUUUAGUCAAAUCAAACUCCAAACAUCAUUUUUAUCUAAAUUAUCUGGAGAAUUGAAUAAAGAUUUUUUUAAGGCUGUCUGUAGAAGAAAAUUACGUCAAUUUUUCAUUUAGCUAGAGAGGUCCUGACCACAGUGUCUUCUGUUGAAUUUCUCCUCAAGGUAGGAUUCCAAAAUACCUGCAAAAUGUGAAACAGUGUUCCUCGUAUGGGUAAUGUAGCAUCUUCACAAAAAUUCUGUCAUGAUUCAUUUGAAAAAUAAUACCUUCUCAUGUCUAAAAUAGUUUUUCAUGAGAAAAACAUUCUAUAAGAAAAAAACAAUUGGCCUAUCUUAGAGGAAAAUGCUAUUAAAAAUUGUGUUAUGGAAACAGAUAACAUUUUCUUUAUCUUUGUGAGUUUUUUCAACAUAAAUUUUGGUCAGAGAAAUCAUUUCAAAAUAGAAGAGAGUCAGAAAUAAUCAGUACAGAAAUGGUUUUGUUGAGAACUGCUAAGUGAAAAGGCACCAAGUGAAGCCCUCAUCUAUGUUUGCAUAAAAAACUGUUUUCAUCCCUAAGAAGCUUGUAGCGUUUGGUGUUUCUAGAAAGCUACCGCAGAAGUGGUGCUGUAGGGGAUAGUGAUUUUUUUUUUUUUUUUUUUUUUUUUUUUUUUGCCAACUGAUGUUCCUUAAUGGCAGCAGGCUUCUCAGAAAAAAUGGAAAAUUAAUAAUUCUAUAUAGCAAGUUCUACAUAUCAUCACUCUAUUCUCUAAUACUUAGUGUUUAAUGUACAUAAAGAGUAGCCAAUUGUGAUAUUAACAAACUUAUUAACACCUGUUGACAAAGAUCUUUGAAGACAAAUCUACACGCAAGCUUUUGCCUUAGCGAACAACAGGAAUAGUUUCCUUAAAAGGAUACAGCUAUUUUGAAAUUUCCUCAACCAUUGCAUCCCAGUGGGGGGAUACUUACAUGGUAGGACUGUUUGGCCAAAGUGCUUGAAGCAUUAGGACACAACAAAGAUAGUUUUGAAAUGUUUUCUUGCUCAAAAUACAUUUGUUCUUAGGACACGGCUAGUGCUCAUUUUACAUUCCAUGCCUGCAGUGUUUAAAACACUGUGGUACAGGUUUCUGAUUCUGUGUUGGUCAAUUUUGAAAUCCAUGUGUUAGUAGUAAGUGUGCUGAUUAGUAGAGUGGGUAACUUCUGGGAACUCCCCUUUCUUUUAUUGACAAUUUCUUUGUAAAGCAAAUGCUAAUCCUACAGCCUAUUAAUAAAGACUGGAACUCCCUUGUUCAUUAGACACGCAGUAGGAAAAUGGGUAACAUAGCUGUAGAAAUAUAUUUGCAAUAUGUUCUCUUCGCACAAUUUGCAUAUAAAUACCGCUUUCCCUAUUUACACAAAUUAGCAAUGUGUAAUGGAGCACUCAUAGCCUUUUUGUAGGUUCCUGUGACCUUUAAUUGGCACUCAUUUCAGACAAUUGCCAUUUUAGAUAUUGCUAUCGCCAUCUUUUGCAAUUAAGUUUCAAAGUUAUCAUCAUGGCAUUUUUAAUAUUUAGAAAUUUCUUUUUUUAUCUCUGGCUUUCAGUUGAAGACUAUUAUUCACCCCGGUGGACUCAUCAUGUUGGGGACUUUCAAUUGCUACUUUAAAAAGAACGCUUCACUGAAAUAGGUCUCAUCCCAUCAGGAACAUAGAAAAACAAGCAGCAGGCCGGGCAGCACAGGCCUAUAAUCUCAGCUACUUGGGAGGCCGAGGCAGAAGAAUCGCUUGAACCCAGGAGGCGGAGGUUGCAGUGAGCCGAGAUCGCGCCACUGAACUCCAGCCUGGGCGACAGAGGAGACUCUGUCUCAAAAAAAAGUAAAAAAAAAGAAAAAAAGGAAAACAAAAGAAAAAAGAAAAACAAGCAGUUGUUUAUCUUUUGGCUUAAGCCAAAAGAACCUCAAAUGAAAGAAAACAAACAGAUGCCAUUAGAAAAUGCACUAAAGAUAUGAUGAAAGCGUAUCAGAAAUAAUAAUAAAAAAUCAAAUGUAGCACAUCCUAUGUACCUGGCACUGUUAUAGGAACUGUGUCUGUAUUAACACAUAAGUGUUUGAGGUAGGUACUGUUAUUAUCCCUAUUUGCCAAUGAGAGAAAGAAGGCAAGAGAGCUUAAGGAAGUUUUCCUAAUUGCCCAGCUAGAAAGCAGGACAGGUACAAUUUGGUGCUAGGUGAUUAGGCUUCAGAAUCAUCCCUCAGUCAUCAUAUUUAAUCACAGGCUUCAUGCCAUUAAUGUCUUUGCUCCAAAGUCUUCAUUUGAUUGUUUUUUUCUAACUUGUUAUUUUUUUGAGCAAACAUUCUUGUGAACUUUCAUAUUUUUAAUCCUUCUUUAUUGAGGCUUAAAAAAUAUUUUUUAAAAAUAGUAAAAUGUAUUUGCUACAAAACUGAGCACUAACUUUUGAGAAGUUGUUCUAAGCUUUCAUUUGUUUCUGGUCUGAAUCAUCAGCCACGAAUUCUGAAUAAGGCUGAUCUUAUAUUAUUGCCACGUUCAGGUCUCUAGAAAUAACCAUUAUAGGACAUGACCUAUCAUUCUUAUGGAUUUUAUUGAAUGAUGAGCUCAGCUGCUUGUACAAAUCAUUUUAUUUGCCUUCUCCUUUAAUAUAUUUAUCAGCAAAUUAGGAAGCAGUAUUUCGUUUUGUGUUGUUACUCAAAAUAAGAGGAUUUUACAUUCAUAAAAUAUGUUUUUAUAUCUUAGCCCAUUAUCUAUUAAAAACAAAACCAAUAAAAUUUUGUCAUUUAUAA